CCUGCGGCCGGGCGUCACCCACGCGUGGGGCGGGGGCGGCGGGACUCGGCCGGCAACAGCCGUCGAGGAAAUCGGGACCGAGGAGCGGCGGGGCGGCCGAGGAACAAUAUGAAGUUAUUUUCUCUGGCACUCUCUGCAAACAGUAGAAGUUUUGCCUGAAAUUGGGAAUGUUCUAUCCAGAGUUUUUCAAGCAAAUAUCAAGAUUUCCAGCAAUUUCAAUAUUCUUUUGAUCGGGCGCUUAAUCUUCUAGAAAGUGCUGGGCUUAAAAGGAUUAUUGUGUAUGUGGUGCUGACUGCAUAUGGAGUUUGGAGUUCGAGUUGUGUCUAAGGAAGAAGAAAGAAAUUUACUAACAGAUUUUCUAACACCUUGAGUUGACUCUGAACAUCUUUUAAAAACACCAAAGGUUGUGCAGGAGUUGAUUAAAGAUGUGACUAGACCUUCCUUAUUAGGCAUGUAUUGAGUUGAAACUGCUAUAUGAGAAAUGGGCAGGACUGUAUCUCCAGCUUUGAAUUCCUAUCCGGUCCUUCUAAAGAAAUUCUGUUGUGUUACUGACAGCUGAUGCAUGAAGUGAAGUUUGGUGACAGGACUUAAUGUUUUUAAUAACAUCAAAACUACUUGCAGGAAGAGAUUCUUAACAUUCAUUGUGAAAGGCUGAAGGUCGUGCAAUGUUGUACAGUCACUAAUGUUAUGAAGAUAGGAGUCUGCCCCCAGAAACUUGUGCUGCAGCGGCAAGACAGAACACACUCAGCACUGGGUGGGACUUGGAGAGCGUCCUGGGAAAGAGUAGGAGCUCCUGAAUCAGUGAAUCAUAUGAUAGCACAAAUCUCUAUCGGUGGAGCCUACAGCUGCAGACAAACCUUGAAGAAGGUCUCCUACAGCAGCAUGAAAGGCUGCUGACCAGAGGCCAUUAGAACAUGACUGGGAAGAGGAAGACUUGGCUGUGACUGGGCUGGUACCUUCACAGAAGGCCCUCGAACAACUGUUUAUUUCCAGAGUCUUCCCGGGUAACUCUGAAUGUAUUCCUCCUCUCAUGAAAGUAUAGCUACUUACAGUCUUGAGUCUAGGGGGAGAGAGGGAGUUGCAUGCUGACAUUUAAGUGCCCCUUUUUACUGUCUUGCCCUUCUUAUAAAAAAUGUCAUUUAAAAUUUAAAUUAUAACAUUAGUGAAAUCUUAUUAAAUUUAAUAUGAUUUAAAUUAAAAUAAAAUUGCUAAAAUCAUCAAGUUGUGCAGAAAAAAAAAUGCAUAAUAAAAAAUUAAAAUUAGAAAAGUCCUCAGGGAGGAGGGCCAUCAUAACCCUCUUUCCUUCUCUUCUACCCCACUUCUCCCAAAUGGCUAUAUUGUAUGCAGUCAAAUUCUUUAAGAACUCAUGCAGUUGAAAGAGGAAAAGACUUUUCUGUAUGCCAAUAAGUGCAAAAACAUGCGAUUGUAAAUGAAGAAAUUGAUAUGUAAAGGUUCAAUGAUUUGUUCAAAGAAUAAAUGAAGCUGGCAUUAGUCACUAUGUGUUGUUGCUUAUGUGCACAGAACUGGGCAUAUCUAUAUGGUGUUCAUAUUCUUAAACAAAUCGAUUGUUAGACAUUUAACAUGAACAGCUGCGAGUGAAAUAUUUUGUAUUUUAGAUUUUUGUGAAAAUCUGCAUACCACAGACUUCUAGAAUGCAAGCAGAAGAUAAUCCUUCUUCAGAAUUAGUCAUAACGACUGUGAAGAGAUCUGAAUUUUUACACUGCUCUUGCCCCUGUUGUGAGUUUCUGGUGGAUAAGCUGAUAGCUUCAGUUUUCAAAGAUGUCAGGCAAGCUCUUUUUUUGUACCAAUGGGUAACAGCAGUUGUUCUCUGGUAGCAAUUAUUAUCUUUCACAGCAUAUAAAGGCUUGAUGUGCUAUUAACUAAUCUUCUUGAGGUGAAAACUUCUUGUCCGUUUGUCUAAAGCUUUGAGUAUUUUACAGAAAAAUUCUCUAUCCAUCCAUUAUAAUGAAAAAAUACUUUGUCAGCAUUCUGUGAUGUGUUUUGAUUACCAGUUACCUUAUGACUACAUUAACAUCAAUAUAUUUUUUUUUCAAAACAGAUUUAAGAUUCUGCCUUUCAAAUCCUACUUGGUUAAAAAAAACAAAAACAAAAAAAAAGUAGCAUCAUAAGGAAGGUCUGGCAUGCAUUUGAUACAACUCAGCUUAUGCAUUCUCACCAUCCAAUGUAUUGGCUUUACUAGGGAUUUGAUUUGGACCCAGAUUCAACACAGAUAUAUAAUGUGCACAGUAGCAUGUAGCUAUUUGCGAUGGACUACAUCAGGACUGUGGGUAAAUAGUUCUUAUGCUUUGAUAUGCAUGCUGAUGUCCCCAGUAAAAUUACUUUUUAAGCAACAUAUGGAGAAAGCGUGUUACCAUGAGUCAAAGUAUUGUAAAUAGUCUUACUAUUUAGUUCAAAAAUACUCAUUUCAAUAUAUUUUCAGUAUCCUCC
rnacentral:lncRNA from 1 species